rnacentral:rRNA from 1 species
UUGGGGUGCUCGAGUGGCGAACGGGUGAGUAACACGUGAGUAACCUGCCCUUGACUUUGGGAUAACUUCAGGAAACUGGGGCUAAUACCGGAUAGGAGCUCCUGCUGCAUGGUGGGGGUUGGAAAGUUUCGGCGGUUGGGGAUGGACUCGCGGCUUAACAGCUUGUUGGUGGGGUAGUGGCUUACCAAGGCUUUGACGGGUAGCCGGCCUGAGAGGGUGACCGGCCACAUUGGGACUGAGAUACGGCCCAG